rnacentral:sRNA from 1 species
GUUGGGUGUGGUGGUGCACAUCUGUAAUCCCAGCAGCUUGGGAGGCUGAGGCAGGAGGAUCACAAGGUCAAGGCUAACCUCAGCAAUUUGUGAGACUCUAAGCAACUUUUUGAGACCCUGUCUCAA